UACGAAGGGGGCUAGCGUUGCUCGGAAUCACUGGGCGUAAAGCGUGCGUAGGCGGUUUGUUAAGUCUGUCGUGAAAGCCCCGGGCUCAACCUGGGAAUGGCGAUGGAUACUGGCGAGCUAGAGUACGGUAGAGGAGAGUGGAAUUCCCGGUGUAGCAGUGAAAUGCGUAGAGAUCGGGAGGAACAUCAGUUGCGAAGGCGGCUCUCUGGACCAGUACUGACGCUGAGGCACGAAAGCGUGGGAGCAAACAGG
rnacentral:rRNA from 1 species